AAGGAGGAGGCUGAAAAUCCUGAACAGAGUAGGCU
rnacentral:ncRNA from 1 species